GCCCCUCUCUUUUUUCUCUUUCCUCUUCCAUGUAAAACCCUAGCGCCGCCUGUAUCCUCUCUCCUCUCUCAUCACCAAAAAUGGCAAAUGUUCAGAGGUCUUAGACCUCAACCAGCUUUUACUGUGCAAAUGCAUACAAUAAUUAAUGCUUUAACGGUUUUUCACUCGAAAUUGCUCCAAACAUGAUUGUGUUCCAGAGAUUUCAUCCAGACUACAUCUCUAGCUUGAAGCUAGUUUGCUCGAUCAGAUCCGAGGGUGAGCUUCUACCCAUGCCAUGCCACCUGAAGAUCUCUCUUUCCAGAUGUCUACUUACAUUCCAGACAUUAUUUGUUAUUAUAUUUGAGAUAUACUUCAUUCUUUAGACAUUGUUGGUUAGAGUCCUUGUACAAUGACUUUCAGAUUUUGGGGGUGUAAUAGUUAGACUUCCGCACUUAUAUUAUCUAUUAAUUAUGACUUGUUUUAU